rnacentral:rRNA from 1 species
AUUGAACGCUGGCGGCAGGCCUAACACAUGCAAGUCGAGCGGAUGAAGGGAGCUUGCUCCUGGAUUCCGCGGCGGACGGGUGAGUAAUGCCUAGGAAUCUGCCUGGUAGUGGGGGAUAACGUCCGGAAACGGGCGCUAAUACCGCAUACGUCCUGAGGGAGCUAGUGGGGGAUCUUCGGACCUCACGCUAUCAGAUGAGCCUAGGUCGGAUUAGCUAGUUGGUGGGGUAAAGGCCUACCAAGGCGACGAUCCGUAACUGGUCUGAGAGGAUGAUCAGUCACACUGGAACUGAGACACGGUCCAGACUCCUACGGGAGGCAGCAGUGGGGAAUAUUGGACAAUGGGCGAAAGCCUGAUCCAGCCAUGCCGCGUGUGUGAAGAAGGUCUUCGGAUUGUAAAGCACUUUAAGUUGGGAGGAAGGGCAGUAAGUUAAUACCUUGCUGUUUUGACGUUACCAACAGAAUAAGCACCGGCUAACUUCGUG